rnacentral:rRNA from 1 species
CCUGGCUCAGGAUGAACGCUAGCGGCAGGCUUAACACAUGCAAGUCGAGGGGUAUAGUUCUUCGGAACUAGAGACCGGCGCACGGGUGCGUAACGCGUAUGCAAUCUACCUUUUACAGAGGGAUAGCCCAGAGAAAUUUGGAUUAAUACCUCAUAGUAUAUAGCCCUGGCAUCAGGAUUAUAUUAAAGUCACAACGGUAAAAGAUGAGCAUGCGUCCCAUUAGCUAGUUGGUAAGGUAACGGCUUACCAAGGCUACGAUGGGUAGGGGUCCUGAGAGGGAGAUCCCCCACACUGGUACUGAGACACGGACCAGACUCCUACGGGAGGCAGCAGUGAGGAAUAUUGGACAAUGGGCGCAAGCCUGAUCCAGCCAUGCCGCGUGCAGGAUGACGGUCCUAUGGAUUGUAAACUGCUUUUAUACGAGAAGAAACACUCCUUCGUGAAGGAGCUUGACGGUAUCGUAAGAAUAAGGAUCGGCUAACUCCGUGCCAGCAGCCGCGGUAAUACGGAGGAUCCAAGCGUUAUCCGGAAUCAUUGGGUUUAAAGGGUCCGUAGGCGGUUUAAUAAGUCAGUGGUGAAAGCCCAUCGCUCAACGGUGGAACGGCCAUUGAUACUGUUAGACUUGAAUUAUUAGGAAGUAACUAGAAUAUGUAGUGUAGCGGUGAAAUGCUUAGAGAUUACAUGGAAUACCAAUUGCGAAGGCAGGUUACUACUAAUUGAUUGACGCUGAUGGACGAAAGCGUGGGUAGCGAACAGGAUUAGAUACCCUGGUAGUCCACGCCGUAAACGANGGAUACUAGCUGUUNGAAGCAAUUNCAGUGGCUAAGCGAA